rnacentral:rRNA from 1 species
AGGUUGAAGGUUGGGUAACACUAACUGGAGGACCGAACCCACUGUCGUUGAAAAGCCAGGGGAUGACUUGUGGAUAGGGGUGAAAGGCUAAUCAAGCCUGGUGAUAGCUGGUUCUCCCCGAAAGCUAUUUAGGUAGCGCCUCGGACGAAUACCAUAGGGGGUAGAGCACUGUUUCGGCUAGGGGGUCAUCCCGACUUACCAAACCGAUGCAAACUCCGAAUACCUAUGAGUACUAUCCGGGAGACAGACUGCGGGUGCUAACGUCCGUAGUCAAGAGGAAAACAAUCCAGACCGCCAGCUAAGGCCCCAAAAUCAUAGUUAAGUGGGAAACGAUGUGGGAAGGCAUAGACAGCUAGGAGGUUGGCUUAGAAGCAGCCACCCUUUAAAGAAAGCGUAAUAGCUCACUAGUCGAGUCGGCCUGCGCGGAAGAUGUAACGGGGCUAAAACUAUGUGCCGAAGCUGCGGAUGUAUACUUUGUAUACGUGGUAGGGGAGCGUUCUGUAAGCCGAUGAAGGUGUGUUGAGAAGCAUGCUGGAGGUAUCAGAAGUGCGAAUGCUGACGUGAGUAACGACAAAACGGGUGAAAAACCCGUUCGCCGAAAGACCAAGGGUUCCAGUCCAACGUUAAUCGGGGCUGGGUGAGUCGACCCCUAAGGCGAGGCCGAAAGGCGUAGUCGAUGGGAAAAUGGUUAAUAUUCCAUUACUUCUGUGUAAUGCGAUGAGAGGACGGAGAAGGCUAAAUCAGCCUGGCGUUGGUUGUCCAGGUGAAAGGAUGUAGGCAUGUAUCUUAGGCAAAUCCGGGGUACUCUAUGCUGAGAUCUGAUAGCAAGCUGUACUUGUACAGCGAAGUGGUUGAUGCCAUGCUUCCAGGAAAAGUCUCUAAGCUUCAGUUACACAGGAAUCGUACCCGAAACCGACACAGGUGGUCAGGUCGAGUAGACCAAGGCGCUUGAGAGAACUCUGCUGAAGGAACUAGGCAAAAUGGUACCGUAACUUCGGGAGAAGGUACGCUGUUGUUGGUGAUGGAACUCGCUUCCUGAGCUGACGACAGCCGCAGAAACCAGGCCGCUGCAACUGUUUAUUAAAAACAUAGCACUCUGCAAACACGAAAGUGGACGUAUAGGGUGUGAUGCCUGCCCGGUGCUGGAAGGUUAAUUGAUGGGGUUAGCGUAAGCGAAGCUCUUGAUCGAAGCCCCAGUAAACGGCGGCCGUAACUAUAACGGUCCUAAGGUAGCGAAAUUCCUUGUCGGGUAAGUUCCGACCUGCACGAAUGGCAUAAUGAUGGCGGCGCUGUCUCCAGCAGAGGCUCAGUGAAAUCGAAAUCGCUGUGAAGAUGCAGUGUACCCGCGGCUAGACGGAAAGACCCCGUGAACCUUUACUGCAGCUUGACACUGAACUUUGACCUUACUUGUGUAGGAUAGGUGGGAGGCUUUGAAGCUGGAACGCUAGUUCCAGUGGAGCCGUCCUUGAAAUACCACCCUGGUAAUGUUGAGGUUCUAACUCUGUCCCGUGAUCCGGGACGAGGACCGUGUCUGGUGGGUAGUUUGACUGGGGCGGUCUCCUCCUAAAGAGUAACGGAGGAGUACGAAGGUGCGCUCAGCGUGGUCGGAAAUCACGCGUAGAGUAUAAAGGCAAAAGCGCGCUUAACUGCGAGACCCACAAGUCGAGCAGGUACGAAAGUAGGUCUUAGUGAUCCGGUGGUUCUGUAUGGAAGGGCCAUCGCUCAACGGAUAAAAGGUACUCUGGGGAUAACAGGCUGAUACCGCCCAAGAGUUCAUAUCGACGGCGGUGUUUGGCACCUCGAUGUCGGCUCAUCUCAUCCUGGGGCUGAAGCAGGUCCCAAGGGUAUGGCUGUUCGCCAUUUAAAGAGGUACGCGAGCUGGGUUUAGAACGUCGUGAGACAGUUCGGUCCCUAUCUACCGUGGGCGCUGGAAAUUUGAGAGGAUCUGCUCCUAGUACGAGAGGACCAGAGUGGACGAACCUCUGGUGUACCGGUUGUGACGCCAGUCGCAUCGCCGGGUAGCUAUGUUCGGAAGGGAUAACCGCUGAAAGCAUCUAAGCGGGAAGCCUACCUCAAGAUAAGAUUUCCCUAGGACUUUAUGUCCUCUAAAGAGCCGUUCGAGACUAGGACGUUGAUAGGUUGGAUGUGGAAGCAUAGUGAUAUGUGAAGCUGACCAAUACUAAUUGCUCGUGAGGCUUGACUAU